rnacentral:rRNA from 1 species
UACAGAGGGUGCAAGCGUUGCUCGGAAUCAUUGGGCGUAAAGGGCAAGUAGGUGGUCUCAUUUGUCUUGUGUGAAAUCCUUGGGCUUAACUCAAGAAGUGCGCAAGAAACGGUGAGACUCGAGUUCCGGAGAGGUGGGUGGAAUUCCCGGUGUAGCGGUGAAAUGCGUAGAGAUCGGGAGGAACACCAGAGGCGAAGGCGGCCCACUGGACGGAUACUGACACUCAACUGCGAAAGCGUGGGGAGCAAACAGG